CAAGUAGGUGGUUUGAUAAGUGAGGUGUGAAAUCUUCCGACUCAAUCGGAAAACUGCCUUUCAAACUGUCAGACUUGAGGUAGGAAGAGGAAAAUGGAAUUCUCGGUGUAAGGGUGAAAUCUGUGGAUAUCGAGAAGAACAUCAGCGGCGAAGGCGAUUUUCUGGUCCUAUCCUGACACUGAAUUGCGAAAGCUAGGGGAGCAAACAGGAUUAGAUACCCUGGUAGUCC
rnacentral:rRNA from 1 species